GGUGGAUGAUGUGGAUUAAUUCGAUGCUACGCGAAUAACCUUACCUACCCUUGACAUGUCACUAACGAAGUAGAGAUACGUUAGGUGCCCGUAAGGGAAAGUGAACACAGGGUGCUGCAUGGCUGUCGUCAGCUCGUGUCGUGAGAUGUUGGGUUAAGUCCCGCAACGAGCGCAACCCUUGUCUUUAGUUGCUACGCAAGAGCACUCUAAAGAGACUGCCGGUGACAAACCGGAGGAAGGUGGGGAUGACGUCAAGUCCUCAUGGCCCUUAUGGGUAGGGCUUCACACGUCAUACAAUGGUGCAUACAGAGGGUUGCCAACCCGCGAGGGGGAGCUAAUCUCAGAAAAUGCAUCGUAGUCCGGAUCGUAGUCUGCAACUCGACUACGUGAAGCUGGAAUCGCUAGUAAUCGCGGAUCAGAAUGUCGCGGUGAAUACGUUCCCGGGUCUUGUACACACCGCCCGUCAUACC
rnacentral:rRNA from 1 species